GGGGCUAUAGCUCAGUUGGGAGAGCGCUGCACUCGCAUUGCAGAGGUCAGCGGUUCGAAUCCGCUUAGCUCCA
rnacentral:tRNA from 1 species